AUUGAACGCUGGCGGCAGGCCUAACACAUGCAAGUCGAGCGGUAGAGAGGUGCUUGCAUCUCUUGAGAGCGGCGGACGGGUGAGUAAUGCCUAGGAAUCUGCCUAGUGGUGGGGGAUAACGUUCGGAAACGGACGCUAAUACCGCAUACGUCCUACGGGAGAAAGCGGGGGAUCUUCGGACCUCGCGCCAUUAGAUGAGCCUAGGUCGGAUUAGCUAGUUGGUGAGGUAAUGGCUCACCAAGGCGACGAUCCGUAACUGGUCUGAGAGGAUGAUCAGUCACACGUAGGAACUGAGACACGGUCCAGACUCCGUACGGGAGGCAG
rnacentral:rRNA from 1 species